rnacentral:rRNA from 1 species
AUGAAGCCUGUGGCUGUCUCCUUUCUGCUGCUCAAACUACUGCUCUCUCUUGGCCUUGCCGUGGCACCGCCCGUCGCCGGCGAUGAGCACCACUUCAGCUUCUCCGGCUUCUCCAAAGCUAAUCUCACCCUCGACGGUAUGGCCUCGGUCACGCCCGACGGGUUACUUGUGCUCACCAAUGGCACCGCCCUGAGUACGGGCCACGCCUUCUAUCCGACUCCGCUGCGCUUCCACAAUUCGUCCGAUGGGACUGUACAGUCCUUCUCUGUGUCCUUCGUCUUCGCCAUUGCCUCCAUCUACAACGACUACUUGAGCAGCAACGGCAUGGCCAUGUUCAUUGCACCGAGCAAGAAUCUAUCAGCGGCGAUGCCGAUACAGUUCUUGGGUCUUUUCCAGGACAUCAACGACAACCAUAUCGGAAUCGACAUCAACAGCCUCCGCUCCGUACAGUCCCACGAUGCUGGCUUCUACCACGACGAGAAUGGCACCUUCCAGAGCUUGGGUCUCGAUGACCAAAAGCCGAUGCAGCUGUGGGUGGACUACCACAGAGAGAAGAUACAGAUCAACGCCACCAUGGCUCCUCUCGGCAUGGCCAAACCUACAAAGCCAACAGUAUCAGCCAACUACAACCUCUCAAGUGUGCUCACAGAUGUGGCGUACAUCGGCUUCUCAGCUGCACUAGGCAAGAUAAACACGAAGCACUAUGUGCUCGGUUGGAGUUUUGGCUUGAACAGUCCUGCUCCAGCCAUCAAUCUCACCAUGCUGCCAAAACUACCUCCUGGUCCUCAUACCAAGGAUUGA